CAUGCUGGGAGCUCAGCCAAGGCCUCACACCCCAUCAAGUCCUGCAGCUUAUGGGAGCAGGAGAAGUUACUUCUCAGCACUCUGAGGCUCUCCUGCCCAGCAGCCUCUCUGAGCCUCCGUUUCUCUGGGGGAUGGUAUCGCAGAGAGAUAGUGAUGGAUCUCCAUGGGAAGAAUGAGUGAUCACCACAUUCCAGAGUUCAGCCUGAGGGGCUUUCUCCAGAUUGUGUGUUCCCAGAGGUCCAGACAGAAGCUGCAAGGCUGUCUAUGAACGAGUCUCAGAAGUCACACGGUGCUACUUUAAAGGCCAGCCCAGGUUCGGGACCUGAGGGGCUACACAAGGCAAAGAGACAAGGGUCCCAGGGCCAUUUUCAGUACAACUAGAAGAACCAAGUUACCUGUCAUCAAUCUUCCCACUUUCUGGAGCCCCAAAACCCAUGUGGCUAAUUGGUAUGUCCAAUUCAGGGGACCUGACAUGUCGCUUCCUGACUGCACGUGUGAGCGCUUGUGCAUGUGUGUACAUGCGUGCAUGUCUGUGCUUGUGUGGGGUAAAUGUUGGGCAAGUGUCCCACUGCACAUUGUUUCUCCUCAAGAAAAGACUGCCAACUGGGUAGUUUAUACUGGAAACAGCCCGGAGUAUCUCACUAUU